rnacentral:rRNA from 1 species
AUGAACGCUGGCGGCGUGCCUAAUCCCUGCCAGUCGAGCGAACGGACGAGAAGCUUGCUUCUCUGAUGUUAGCGGCGGACGGGUGAGUAACACGUGGAUAACCUACCUAUAAGACUGGGAUAACUUCGGGAAACCGUAGCUAAUACCGGAUAAUAUUUUUAACCGCAUGGUUCAAAAGUGAAAGACGGUCUUGCUGUCACUUAUAGAUGGAUCCGCGCUGCAUUAGCUAGUUGGUAAGGUAACGGCUUACCAAGGCAACGAUGCAUAGCCGACCUGAGAGGGUGAUCGGCCACACUGGAACUGAGACACGGUCCAGACUCCUACGGGAGGCAGCAGUAGGGAAUCUUCCGCAAUGGGCGAAAGCCUGACGGAGCAACGCCGCGUGAGUGAUGAAGGUCUUCGGAUCGUAAAACUCUGUUAUUAGGGAAGAACAUAUGUGUAAGUAACUGUGCACAUCUUGACGGUACCUAAUCAGAAAGCCACGGCUAACUACGUG